rnacentral:rRNA from 1 species
AAGUUUGGACAAUGGGGGAAACCCUGAUCCAGCCAUCCUGCGUGUGUGAUGAAGGCCUCCGGGUUGUAAAGCACUUUUGUCAGGGAGGAAAAGACAGGAGCUAAUAACUUCUGUAGAUGAUGGUAGCAGUAGAAUAAGCACCUGCUAACUACGUGCCAGCCGCCGCGGUAAUACGUAGGGUGCAAGCGUUAAUCGGAAUUACUGGGCGAAAAGGGUAAGAAGGCGGCUAGGAAAGAAAGCAAGGCAAACCCAAGGGUCAACCUUGCAACUUCAGUUUUAAAUACCUGGCUAGAGUAUGUCAGAGGGGGGUAGAGUACCACGUGUAGCAGUGAAAUGCUUAAAGGUGUGGAGGAAUACCGAUGGCGAAGGCGGCCCCCUGGGAUAAUACUGACGCUCAGGUACGAAGGCAUGGGGAGCAAACA